GACGAACGCUGGCGGCGCGCCUAACACAUGCAAAUCGAACGAGCGAGAGAGAGCUUGCUUUCUCAAGCGAGUGGCGAACGGGUGAGUAACGCGUGGGGAACCUGCCUCAAAGAGGGGGACAACAGUUGGAAACGACUGCUAAUACCGCAUAAGCCCACAGGUCGGCAUCGACCAGAGGGAAAAGGAGCAAUCCGCUUUGAGAUGGCCUCGCGUCCGAUUAGCUAGUUGGUGAGGUAACGGCCCACCAAGGCAACGAUCGGUAGCCGGACUGAGAGGUUGAACGGCCACAUUGGGACUGAGACACGGCCCAGACUCCUACGGGAGGCAGCAGUGGGGAAUAUUGCACAAUGGGGGAAACCCUGAUGCAGCGACGCCGCGUGGAGGAAGAAGGUCUUCGGAUUGUAAACUCCUGUUGUUGAGGAAGAUAAUGACGGUACUCAACAAGGAAGUGACGGCUAACUACGUG
rnacentral:rRNA from 1 species